CCGCAAGCACACACACACACGCAGCAUACACACACGCAGGGAAUGGAAAGGAGAAAGCUCUCUUUCUCUCUCUAGAUUUCUCACAAAAUUAAGGGAAUUGGUGAAGAAGUAAGUUUGGAAGUCGAUUUUCAUCUUCAUCAUCAUCUUCCUCUCUAUUGGAGCUAAUUUGAGAGGGAAACGAACGCGCUGGCGAAGACGGUUCGGCAAUCCGACGAGCCGUUGUGAAGUUAUUAAAGAUACGGACGUUAGGCUUCGUUUCCGCCUGGAGGGCCGAGGCGACGUCGUAAAAUCCUGAAAACGGAUUUGAAGCACCGUAACAGCAAAACGAAGAUCCUUUUUACCCGGGGCUGCAAAGCGAUGCGCGGUUGGUGCGCAACUACAAGUUCCGACGGAACCGGGCGCCGGAUGCCGCGGAAGGCUGAUUGCAAGUGUCGACAAGCAAUUGGAACGCGAAUCGAGGUUGUACGAGUGCGGCGCGGCGGCGCAAGGCGAGUGCGUAGCUCCGUAGAUAGCGCCCUACCCAAAGACCAGAGCUAGCAAUACCCCGUCGACAUAGCUUAGGGGUUAAGGAAUGAAAGGAACAUAAUGUAUCAAAUUUGUAAUGAGUAAUUUGUAAUAACUAGAUUGCAUUUGGAUGAAAAAGAAUGUAAAAAGAAUUGUAAUGUAAAAAUAUGUGAAUGUGAAUGUAUGUAAUAAUA